UACGAAGGGGGCUAGCGUUGUUCGGAAUUACUGGGCGUAAAGCGCACGUAGGCGGACUAUUAAGUCAGGGGUGAAAUCCUGGAGCUCAACUCCAGAACUGCCUUUGAUACUGAGGAUCUCGAGUCCGGGAGAGGUGAGUGGAACUGCGAGUGUAGAGGUGAAAUUCGUAGAUAUUCGCAAGAACACCAGUGGCGAAGGCGGCUCACUGGCCCGGUACUGACGCUGAGGUGCGAAAGCGUGGGGAGCAAACAGG
rnacentral:rRNA from 1 species